GAAAUCGGCGAUUAGUACACAGGGGUUUAGGAUAGUAUGGAUGCACAUGAUUGGAGCCUACUCCGCAUGUUCGUUAAAAUAUUGGCUCAAAACGCAGCGGGUUUACCUAAAUGUAAUGUCGGUCAGCCUGUUAGUCAUUGCCCCCCCCCCCCCCCCCUUUCUUUCUUUUUAAGUUACACUGCUAGAUAUAACAAAUGAGGUUACUUGUAGCCUUCCUGGCUUUCGCCAUUGAAACUUCAGCGAAGUGUUCCAGUUUGCGGCCGGCAGAAGGCGGCACUUGCAGGCUGCUGGUGUGGACGGAGCGGCCCGUGGUUGCUGUCCAGCCAGCGCCGGGCUUGCCGUGGUGCGGUGCGGGAACGUUGGCCUGCUGUUGGAGUUGCGGCUGCGGUUGAGCGUGCCUGCUGCGCAGUUCGUGCGGGUGCCCGUGGUGGGGGACGCAGGCCCGGUUUUGGUUUGUUUCAUUCCACACGUUUCUCCACGCAGUAAAGUAUGCAACCUUUCAGCUGAGCGCAGGCUAUAUGUGCCGUCUGACACCGUCGGCAAUGUGCAUCACGACUUCUUGCAUUGCACGAGGCAUGUGCAGUAGUCUCUGUAGUUUGUGCCUGAGGUUCUUGGUAUCCAAUAAAGCUGUA
rnacentral:lncRNA from 1 species